rnacentral:rRNA from 1 species
AGCAGCCGCGGUAAUUCCAGCUCCAAUAGCGUAUAUUAAAGUUGUUGCAGUUAAAAAGCUCGUAGUUGAAUUUCGGGGUCAAUACGUCGGUCGUGCCUUCGGUACGUACUGGUGUUAUUGAUCUCUCCCUUCUGAUGAAUCACGAUGUCAUUAAUUUGGUGUCGUGGGGAGUCAGGACUGUUACUUUGAAAAAAUUAGAGUGUUUAAAGCAGGCUCACGCUUGAAUACAUUAGCAUGGAAUAAUGAAAUAGGACGUUCGAUCCUAUUUUGUUGGUUUCUAGGAUCAACGUAAUGAUUAAUAGGGAUAGUUGGGGGCAUUAGUAUUCAAUUGUCAGAGGUGAAAUUCUUGGAUUUAUUGAAGACUAACUACUGCGAAAGCAUUUGCCAAGGAUGUUUUCAUUAAUCAAGAACGAAAGUUAGGGGAUCGAAGACGAUCAGAUACCGUCGUAG